CAGCCGCCGCGGGAAUACGAAGGUCCCGAGCGUUGUUCGGAAUCACUGGGCGUAAAGGGAGCGUAGGCGGCGUGGUAAGUCAGAUGUGAAAUCCCGGGGCUCAACCUCGGAACUGCAUCCGAUACUGCCGUGCUAGAGGAUUGGAGAGGUAGCUGGAAUUCUUGGUGUAGCAGUGAAAUGCGUGGAGAUCAAGAGGAACACUCGUGGCGAAAGCGAGCUACUGGACAAUAUCUGACGCUGAGGCUCGAAGGCCAGGGUAGCGAAAGGGAUUAGAUACCCCGGUAGUCCCUGUCUCUUAUAC
rnacentral:rRNA from 1 species